ACUUCUAGUCCGGUGUAUUGCAAGUUGAGCUAAACUCUGCAGGACAGUGAUCUUCUACGACUGAGUUAAGACACCCCUGUUUCUGAACCUUGGAUUUGUGUGCUGUCUUUAGCACUAAGUUGAAUGUUCUUAUUCUAUUCUUAAUUAUCUCUUUUAUUAUAUUGCUGAACAUUUUGCAUCCUGAAAAUUCAGUACUUAUAAGUGGCUUUCUUUUUUUUAAGGCUAGAAACAAUAUAGAGAAGCAUUGAAUGGGCGAGAGGAAGGCUGAUCACUGCACCAGAAGCAGACGAGUUACUCCAAGAUCUCAAUGAAUAUAUAGCAGAGGUACAAAAGCAUAGGCAGCAUGGACAACAAGCCAGUUCCAGAUCUGAUCGAGGUGCACCCCAUUACAGCAUCACCAGAGAGCAACUUUCUUUUCUGAGGACAUGUGGUUUUAGUCUUCCUUCAAUAGCAGAGAUUCUGCAAGUGUCUCUGGCUACCGUCAAACGCCGCAUGGAAGAGAUUCCAUUUGAAUCGCUCUCUGACUUAAUCUGAAAUAACCGAUGUAGAUCACAGACAUUGUGGAUGGAAAUGACCAGCUGGGAUCGGAGGCUGUCAGGGCACAGUUACGGGCAGGUGGAAAUCGUGUACAAAGACACAGAGUACGCAGGAGCUUGGUUCAAAUUAACCCAAUUGCAGCAGCACUACGGGCCAUGUCACAAAGACCACACAGAAGGUUGUAUAGUGUUGCUGGUCCAAACUCCCUGUGGCACCUAGAUGGCAACCACAAAUUGAUAAGAUGGAGAAUUGUCAUUCAUGGUGUUAUAGAUGGCUACAGUCAUCUCAUAGUCUUUCUCCAUGCCUCAAACAACAACCACAGCAGCACUGUAAUGCCUUCUAUGGUCAGAACAGACCAUGGAGGAGAAAACCAUGAUGUCUGUGUGAUGUUGAACAUUUUCAGGGGCUCAGAGAGAGGCAGCGCAAUAAGAGGCAGGAGCGUUCACAACUAAAGAAUUGAGAGGCUCUGGGGUGACAUGUGGCGGGGAUUGACUAAUGUAUAUUACAAUCUCUUUCACUUCCUGGAGGCUGAAGGUAUCUCUGACAUAGACAAAGAAAUGCACAUAUGGGCUCUUCACUUUGUCUAUGUGCCGAGGAUCAACAGGUGUUUAUCAGCCUUUACUCAACAGUGGAACAACCAUGGGCUGAGAACAGAACAACACCAGACACCCAUGCAGAUAUUUGUUCGAGGCUGCCUGGAACAACAAGGACAGCGAACCACUGCAAUGGAAGAGAUCUUUGGCAGAACAGCUGGACCAGCAGAUGAACCUGUUCUUCAGGCACCGGCAGCAGAAUCAAGCUUGCAGGAGGCACCAGUGUUUGACUGGCCAGAGGGAGUAGCUGUUCCUCAAAGUGACUUCACAUUGGAGAGUGCUGCCUUAGAGCAACUUGUUGCACAAAUUAAUCCACUUGGUGGUUCAAGGGGACAACUCAGAGUGGAUGUCCUUCAAAACAUUUUAUCUCUUUUGAUGUCUCUGAAUCCCCAACAUUAAAAAAAAAAAUGGUUAUUUCUGUAAUCACAGAUUAUGGUCACCACUGACUAAUUAUAUGGACACUGAAUUUUUGGUGAGCCAACCACUGAAGUUUGUCGUGGGUGUGGAUAGAUCCACUUGAAGUUAUAUUUUGAGUAGCGGUUACAAUAUUUAAGUAUGGUUAAAGGGUUAGCUCACCCAAAAAUUAAAUUUGUCAUUAAUUACUCACCCUCAUGUUGCCCCAAACCUGUAAGACCUUUGUUUGUCCUCAGAACACAAAUUAAGACAUUUCUGGUAAAAUCCAAGGAUGAUCCACAUAAGCAGCAACGGUACUGCAUCUUUUGAGGUCCAGAAGGGUAUUAAAAGCCAUUGAUAGUGUUUCAACAUUAAUAUUAUAAAGUGACGUGAAUAGUUUUGGUGCGCAAAAACAAAACAACUUUUUCAACUAUCUAGUGAAGGACGAUCUCUGAACAAUAUUUCACGAAGCUUCAAUCCUUUAUGAAUCUUGUUUAGAAUUAAUAUCAUAUUUC